CAUUUCGCGUUUACGGUUUCAUUUAUUUCUAUUUUGUUUUGUAAUUUGGUUAAAAAAAAUCGCAUAAACUUGAAAAUUCCAUUGAUUACUUAUGUUAGACAUUUUCUAGGCGUGGUCAAAUUUUCAAAACAUUUUAACGAGUUCUAAAUUGAUUAGACUCAUUUGAAAUUUUUGAGUUGUUAAAUUUCUAUUAGGUUGUAUGCGGAUAAUUUUUUUUUUGACCCCGAAAAAAUGCUUUAAAAUUGAAUUGCAGGUUCAUUGUAAACUGAACUUAGUGGUAAACAAACGAGUAAUAUUGAAUAAUAGUUUUAGUUAAAAUUUUGACUCUAAUCGUAAAA